GGAGUCUGGGCCGUGUCUCAGUCCCAGUCUGGAUGAUCAUCCUCUCAAACCAUCUAACGAUCGUCGACUUGGUGAGCCAUUACCUCACCAACUAUCUAAUCGUACGCAGGCCAGUCCCAAACCGUCCGAAGACUUUAAUCCGAAGAUCACAUGCGGUAUUAGCCACUCUUUCGAGUGGUUAUCCCUCAGUUUGGGGUCCGUUCCCACGCGUUACUCAGCCGUCCGCCGCUCGUCAGCAACUAGCAAGCUAGUCCUGUUACCGCUCGACUUGCAUGUAUUAGGCAUGCCGCCAGCAUUCAUC
rnacentral:rRNA from 1 species